rnacentral:rRNA from 1 species
GGCGAACGCUGGCGGCGUGCUUAACACAUGCAAGUCGAACGAUGAAGCCUUAGCUUGCUUUGGUGGAUUAGUGGCGAACGGGUGAGUAACACGUGAGCAACGUGCCCAGGACUCUGGAAUAACCGCGGGAAACCGUGGCUAAUACCGGAUAGGUGCCGAGGCCGCAUGGUCUUCGGUUGGAAAGUUUUUGCGGUUCUGGAUCGGCUCACGGCCUAUCAGCUUGUUGGUGGGGUAAUGGCCUACCAAGGCGACGACGGGUAGCCGGCCUGAGAGGGUGACCGGCCACACUGGGACUGAGACACGGCCCAGACUCCUACGGGAGGCAGCAGUGGGGAAUAUUGCACAAUGGGCGCAAGCCUGAUGCAGCAACGCCGCGUGGGGGAUGACGGCCUUCGGGUUGUAAACCUCUUUUAGUAGGGAAGAAGCGCAAGUGACGGUACCUGCAGAAAAAGCACCGGCUAACUACGUG